CCUACGGGAGGCUGCAGUGGGGGAUAUUGCACAAUGGGGGGAACCCUGAUGCAGCGACGCCGCGUGGGUGAAGAAGCGCCUCGGCGCGUAAAGCCCUGUCAGCAGGGAAGAAAAUGACGGUACCUGACGAAGAAGCCCCGGCUAACUACGUGCCAGCAGCCGCGGUAAUACGUAGGGGGCAAGCGUUAUCCGGAUUUACUGGGUGUAAAGGGGGCGCAGACGGCGGUGCAAGCCAGGAGUGAAAGCCCGGGGCCCAACCCCGGGACUGCUGUUGGAACUGCGAGGCUGGAGUGCAGGAGGGGCAGGCGGAAUUCCUGGUGUAGCGGUGAAAUGCGUAGAUAUCAGGAGGAACACCGGUGGCGAAGGCGGCCUGCUGGACUGCAACUGACGUUGAUGCCCGAAAGCGUGGGGAGCAAACAGGAUUAGAUACCCUAGUAGUC
rnacentral:rRNA from 1 species